AACUAAGUGAGACCUUGUCUCAAAAAAAAAAAAAAAAAUUAUUUUACUGAGUCAGGCAUUGGAGGCUACUUUUACUUAAAACCCAGGAAAACCAAUCAACCAAAAAAAGGUAGCAGUUCUCUGCCUUUGACAGUCUCAAAAUUCAUAACAAUGUUUUCAACAAAAAAGAAGGGUAUUUCUCUCUCACCCAAAAGUCCUAACUAAUGUGGCUGUUGUGGUCUGCAAACGUGAUGGGGGUCUAAGCUCCUUAUGUCUUGUUGCUCAGCUGCAUGAUCCAAGAUGGCCCCAUUCCAUGGAGAAAGAGAAGCUGCCCCUGUCCUUCAAAAUUUACCCCUAUCCCCUUGUCCAGAACUCAUCAUGUGGACACAUUUAGCCAUAGGGAAGCUGGGAAUUGUAGUUUCUCUGAUCAGCCAUGUGCCCAGCUUAGAAACAGAUUCUACGAAUAUGAGAGAGAAGAGAUGAAUCAAUAUUAGGGAACCCCCAGGAGACCUGGCACCAUCACCUGAAGAGGAUGUUUUUUUCAUCUCAUCCUUGCCUUCCCUCACAGAAGAAGGCAAGAGAUCAGUGUUUCACAUUCCAGCACCAAGCCAGGUCUGUUUGUCAAAACUCUCCAGAGACCACAUCUUGUGGCACAAGACUUCUGGGGCCGUGAUCUUUCUUCCUGGGUCCUCCCUGGCACAGGAUGGAUUUCUUACUGCAGGCACUCUGUGGCUGCCCGCACACUGCAGUUUGUUCAGCUGUCCAUUCUUCAGCUGACUCUGGGUCACAAAAUGAAAAUAAACAAGAGCUUAUUUUGGAGAAAGCAUACCAAGGGAUAAGACUAUGGCCUAUUUGUUUCCAAACCUGCCCUGAGUCAUCAUUCAGCAGGUUGCUACAAAAGAAAAGAGAAAUCAGAAGAGAAAACACUGCAGCCAGAAGUUUUCUGAGACAGGUGGCUUCCUAAGCUUUUGCAAGUAGGGUCACCAUGCUAACCAGAACCAAACAGACCUUGAAUGGAAUAGACUAACCUAGACCUGCUAAAUGUCUGUAGGCAGGAGAUUGAAGACAGAGUGGGAUUCCCAGCCUGAAGUUUAAGCUGUGCUAUAGUCACAAAAAAUUUUGUUGACUGUGGUUAACAAAAAUUUAAUUGUACGUUUUCAAAUAACUAGAUGAGUAUAAUUAGAUUGUUUAUAACACAAAGGAUAAACGCUUGAGGAGAUGGAUACCCCCUUCUCCAUGAUGUGCUUAUUUCAUAUUUCAUGCCUGUAUCAAAACAUCUCAUGUACCUCAUAAAUAUAUACACCUACUGGGUACCCA